GUCCCCGAAGCCCAGAGGAAGGGCGCCCGUCUCCGAAGCGGGAGGACGCAGGUUCGACUCCUGCCGGGGAUG
rnacentral:tRNA from 1 species